GACGAACGCUGGCGGCGUGCUUAACACAUGCAAGUCGAACGGUGAAGCGCCUUCCUUUUUGGUGGGUGUGGAUGAGUGGCGAACGGGUGAGUAACACGUGAGUAACCUGCCCCCUUCUUCUGGAUAACCGCAUGAAAGUGUGGCUAAUACGGGAUAUUCUGGGUCUGUCGCAUGAUGGGUCUGGGAAAGAUAUUGUUUCGGUGGGGGAUGGGCUCGCGGCCUAUCAGCUUGUUGGUGGGGUGAUGGCCUACCAAGGCGGUGACGGGUAGCCGGCCUGAGAGGGUGGACGGUCACACUGGGACUGAGACACGGCCCAGACUCCUACGGGAGGCAGCAGUGGGGAAUAUUGCACAAUGGGCGCAAGCCUGAUGCAGCGACGCCGCGUGAGGGAUGGAGGCCUUCGGGUUGUGAACCUCUUUCGCCAGUGAAGCAGGCCUGCCUCGUUUGUGGGUGGGUUGACGGUAGCUGGAUAAGAAGCGCCGGCUAACUACG
rnacentral:rRNA from 1 species